GCCCCGCCCGGCUUCCCCCUCGCCCCGCGGCGGGCGCGAAAGAGACCCACAGCGGGACGUGAGCUGCCAGCGCCAGCGGCUUCGGGUGCGACGGCAGUGAGCUUUUUUGGGUUGCUGAGUUCUCAGGCAGAAAGGAUGAUGACCACAGGGGCAAGGCAGGAGCAACUUUGCUGAGACCUCUCCCUCUUGAGCCAUGUUUUCUCCAGGAGCAGACUACCCCUGAGUCUUAUCCUGGCCCACAAGGGGGGUAGGACAGCUGCCUGUCCUCUGAGAGGGUACCACACCCAGAUGCCUACAGCACAGAAGCCAAGUGAGGGUGGGUGACAAUACUGAAGGUCCAAGGCACAACCAAAAGGGCCGUUAGCUGGGGAGCACCAUGUAGAAAUGAGGUUCCAGCCCAGCCAGAUCUUUCAAGAAAAGCUGGAAGUACUUUUUUUUUUUUUUUUUAAGUGAAACCUUUAAUGUGAAUUUUAAAGUUGGUUACUAAUCCAAGUGAAAAGAGCCAAACCCAGCAUGUCCAGGGGCCCCAUGCAGCUUCACUGGCUGCCAGUUUGUGAUCCCUGACAUCCUUUCCUCCUCUCUGACCCAAAAGCUGAGCAAGAUAAGAAUCUGAAACUCAGAAUAGUGCCCAAGGGAAUGGGUGUCUGGAAGCCCUUUUCAUAUUUCAAAACUCUCAACCAUAAGAAAAGAAAGGCAUCUUUCAAGAGACUUGAAACAGAAAUUGCUGCUGCCCAAAAUCUGUCUUCCUAAACUUUCUGUUGCAGGUAAUAAUAAUAGCUCAUCUUCAGUGACCACUUGCUAUGUUUGUGGCAAAGUUCUAAGUGCUUUACCUAUGUUAUCUCAUUUUGCAGAUGAGACUGAAGCUCACUGAAGUUCCGUAAAUUGCCGAAGACUCCCAGCUAAAAGUGGCAGAGCAAGGACUCAAACCAAGGCAGACUUCUGGUUUCAGAGCCUUUCAAGUCCUAACCAGGUGAGAAUAAAACUUCCAACACACUUAUU